UACGCGAGCUGGGUGUAGAACGUCGUGAGACAGUUCGGUCCCUAUCUGCCGUGGGCGCUGGAGAACUGAGGGGGGCUGCUCCUAGUACGAGAGGACCGGAGUGGACGCAUCACUGGUGUUCGGGUUGUCAUGCCAAUGGCACUGCCCGGUAGCUAAAUGCGGAAGAGAUAAGUGCUGAAAGCAUCUAAGCACGAAACUUGCCCCGAGAUGAGUUCUCCCUGACUCCUUGAGAGUCCUGAAGGAACGUUGAAGACGACGACGUUGAUAGGCCGGGUGUGUAAGCGCAGCGAUGCGUUGAGCUAACCGGUACUAAUGAACCGUGAGGGUUAACCUU
rnacentral:rRNA from 1 species